UACAAUGCAGGAUUUUAAGAUUGGUUACUGAAAUUACUCCCAAAUAUGAAAAGUAUUAUGAUACUUAGUCUUCUUUGAACUCCUAGGUUUUAAAUGCUUUGCACAAUUAUUGAUAGCCAUUCUGGUUCCUCAGGAUCGUUCUUAUUUCUUCUGCUGUCAACUUUCAAGCAUCAGUCGCAUAUCUUUUUCCAGAUACACUUGAGCAUGAACUUUUUAUGUUUUAGCAAAUAUGUGGUUUUUAGUAUUUAAAUUUUGUGGCUCUCAUAUUAUUGCAGUACCAAGCAGUAUAAAAAAAUAACUAAAAUUAUCUUCUAAAAAGUUUGUUAAUUAGAGACCUUCUCAGUGGAACCAUGUAGAACACAUCGGUGGGCGUACAUUCGAGCCAAGUGCUUAAAACCAUUUAAACGCGGAGUACUAGUAUGCAAUCCAGUAUGUACUUGACCUAGCCAGCUUGCUGCCAUACCUUCAUCUAAUAUAGAUUUUUCAUGUUUCUUCCCUCCUCUCGAGGGUCAUUUACUUUGCCUAUUACUUCUAAUUUACUGGCAUUGAUCUCUUUAUUGCUGUUUCACAUUUUGCUGUGUCAGUGAUAGAUUGUAUCUAAGCCUUUUAUGCCCUCUGGCUUUGAUGCGCGACUAGCUAAAGUUUGUGCUGCUCCUGCAUUUGUAUACAGUGCUGCUAGCUACUACCAUACCACUACCAGUUUAUUGGAAGGGCACUUAUGGAUUUUGUUUUUUUCCACCAUAUAGAUUAUUUUGUAGCUGUUCAAGCUCAUGGAAGCCCAACAAUUACUGAGCAGCUGCAUGCUUCUUGGAGAAGUGGCGGCUUAUACAAAGCUUGGUAUGAUUCAAUGCAGACUUGGUUAUGUAGGACCAGCUGGGGAUGACCCACAGUGCAUGGAAGGACUUGAAGGGUUUGGAUUAAAAGUCACCUUAUGGUCCUACAAUGGAUAAUAUUGUAGAAAACGUAUUUUUAUCAUAAAGUUAAAGUGCCUUUUUUUUUAGGUUUUUAGAUGAGGUAUUGGUCCAAAGAAUAAUUUUCCAACGGAGAUUUGUCAACUGGUGGUGGUCUGGAGUAAUCGUACUCCUAUUAUCCUAUAAUAAAAGUUCAGAUAUACAUCUUAUAUUUAUGCGGGAAAUAAGAGUUAUAGCGAGUCUUAGGAGAGCGCAAAAAGAGGGUAAUCUCAGUAGAGGUUGAAAUUAAUAGAAGAGAGAGGGGGAGGGAUGCGAGAAGGGUUGAACCCAGGAUAUGCCGUACCGGCCGGUACGAAUCGAUCCAGGAGCAAAACGGUACCGGAUCAGCGUGGGAUCCGGUACUGCAGGUUUAUUUUUGAAAAAUAGACCGGUACGGAUGCCGUACCGGUCGGUACCGUCCCGAUUGGGUUGAUCUACUUUCUCCUGACUAUACUUAUGAUCCGG
rnacentral:lncRNA from 1 species